AGUGAACGCUGGCGGUAGGCCUAACACAUGCAAGUCGAACGGCAGCACAGUAAGAGCUUGCUCUUACGGGUGGCGAGUGGCGGACGGGUGAGGAAUACAUCGGAAUCUACUUUUUCGUGGGGGAUAACGUAGGGAAACUUACGCUAAUACCGCAUACGACCUACGGGUGAAAUCAUGGGAUCUUCGGACCUUGCGCGAUUGAAUGAGCCGAUGUCGGAUUAGCUAGUUGGCGGGGUAAAGGCCCACCAAGGCGACGAUCCGUAGCUGGUCUGAGAGGAUGAGCAGCCACACUGGAACUGAGACACGGUCCAGACUCCUACGGGAGGCAGCAGUGGGGAAUAUUGGACAAUGGGCGCAAGCCUGAUCCAGCCAUACCGCGUGGGUGAAGAAGGCCUUCGGGUUGUAAAGCACUUUUGUUGGGAAAGAAAAGCAGCAGGUUAAUACCCCGCUGUUCUGACGGUACCCAAAGAAUAAGCACCGGCUAACUUCGUG
rnacentral:rRNA from 1 species